CCUACGGGAGGCUGCAGUGGGGAAUAUUGGACAAUGGGGGCAACCCUGAUCCAGCCAUGCCGCGUGUGUGAAGAAGGCCCUCGGGUUGUAAAGCACUUUCAGUGAGGAAGAACGCCUGGUGGUUAAUACCCAUCAGGAAAGACAUCACUCACAGAAGAAGCACCGGCUAACUCCGUGCCAGCAGCCGCGGUAAUACGGAGGGUGCGAGCGUUAAUCGGAAUUACUGGGCGUAAAGCGCGCGUAGGUGGCUUGAUAAGCCGGUUGUGAAAGCCCCGGGCUCAAUCUGGGAACGGCAUCCGGAACUGUCAAGCUAGAGUGCAGGAGAGGAAGGUAGAAUUCCCGGUGUAGCGGUGAAAUGCGUAGAGAUCGGGAGGAAUACCAGUGGCGAAGGCGGCCUUCUGGACUGACACUGACACUGAGGUGCGAAAGCGUGGGUAGCAAACAGGAUUAGAUACCCGUGUAGUC
rnacentral:rRNA from 1 species